ensembl:lncRNA
UUCUGGACUGUGUGAUGGGGUAGGGAGAGCAAGAAGAGAGGAGAAGAAGACCUCCCAACAAAUUAACUGUCCCUAUCAAGGGGAGAAGGCAGAGGAAAGUAGUGAUAAUAGCUAGCAAAUUUGCUCAAGACUACAAAAGAGCUGAAGGAAAGUGCUUAUUGAAAUGGGCGUCAUUGAUACAGAUGCUCUGCAGCUACUCCCGGAUAUAGUAAGAAUAGACUGUUCUGCAAUAUAUUUUUAAUGAAUUACCAUGGCCUCAGUCUUGACCUCUGUGACAACCUACGGUGCAAACAACCAAUCAAACUUACAGUUUGGAUAGGAAUUAUUCCAGUUUCUUUUCUCUGCUAAUAUGUAAACCUUAUUUUCCUUCAUACACAGAGUGCCACCAACCACAGAAAGGCAAUCCUCUUAUGGAAGCCUUCAGGAUUUCAUAAUUCUAUUGUGGUCUACUGCUCCAGAGAAGAGUAUCUUUUGGAGUUGUGAACAACAUCAUAUGAAAGCUGAACCUGAGUUUCUCAGGCCGAGGAAAAGGUUUCUACAUCUGAAAAUGAAUGUCACUGCAGACGUUGGAGACUGAAACCAAGGGCUUUAAAGGUCAUGGGAUUCAUUUGCAUUCAAUUGGACUAAGCAGAAGCUCAUCAUAAAUUUGUGCAGCAAGAGAGCAGUGCAUGACUGGACAUGCAGGUGUCUCAUUUGUUAUGGCACAGAAUUCAACGGCACUUCAGAUAUUUGAAAAAUCUAUGUCAUUUUAUACUAGUUUUACCUGGAUUAGCCACUGCAACAAAUACAUCUGCAAAAUUUCAGACUAAGUUCCAGCCCUAUCUGUAACAGAGUAUUGCUUACCUAUUUGGCAAAAGAGGUACUAUACCAAAAUGAAGGACACCGUAAUCAUUCUCAACAAAGCACAGAAUAGUACAUUAAGCUUCAAUUCUUCAACUGCCAGUAAUGUUAAACUUGUAGAUGUUCUCUUGUAGAUGUUACACACGAACUCUUAUGACACUUUCACUCAAUUAUGGAAAGAAACUUCUGCUCCAAGAUAUAAUUAAGAACCUACCACGUGUGUGUAAAAUCUAGAGAAUACUUUUUUUUUGCCUCAGGUAUUCUUCAUGGUACAAAUGUUAGAAUGAAAUACAAAAUCAGGAGUUUAAUUUUGAUCCCAGAGAACUACUGCCAGGGUUCACCUUACCUUAGUGAUAUUGGAUGACACUCAGUUGCAUCCAAGCAGAUCAGUCUAUGCAGCUGACUUCCAAAUAAAUUAAAAGGCAACAGAAUUCCAAUUUCAAUUUAUUAGAACAAUGAAAGCAAAGUAAACCAUGCAGGAAGAACCAAAGGCAUGAAUGAAACCUCUCUAGAAUCUGCUGAAUUGUUUGGUAAUUGCUGUGAAAGAUAGAUAUAUUUUUUGUAUGUCAUGAUGAGAGAUAAAUGUUGAUACAGCUUCUCCGGUUUCUCAGUAUAUUGGCUUUGUUGUCAGAUCCACAACAGGUAGGUCCACUCUGAAAGUAAUGCCUCCUAUUUAUUUACACAGAUAUUUAUUUACAACAAAGAGCACAAUAACACUAUUUGAUAGAGCAAAUUCUCAGAUACAAAACACUACUUUUCAACAUAGUCACCAUUAGCUGUGCAUUUUUGGCAGCCAUGAACAGAUGUCUGCAUGUUGAGCUUGUAAAAAUCUGCAUGGCUUUCCAGAAUGUAGCCUGUCUUUCAUGUUGCUGUCACCACUGCUGAAAUGCACCACCCACUGUCUCACUGUACUCACAUCCACUGUUUGGACUCCAUAAAUGUUCACAAGCAUUGAUGAAUAUCAGUGGGUGCCAUUUUUUCCAUGGAGGAAUUCAGUGCCACACCUUCACUUCAUAUGCACUUCCAUGUCAGACAUCGUUCUGUCAGACUGUUCUCUGUUGCCCUCUGUCACAUGGCAACAAAAUGUAGUGGGAUAUUGGUGAGCAUGUUCAUCCUCUACUGCCAUAACACCAUCAUCCACCUCUGAUAUCAUGGGCCAACAUAAUAAAAUAAAUAGGUAGCAUUACUUUCAAAUCAAAGUUUAGGGUAAAGCCGAAAAUUUGUGUGAUGUAUUCUGAAUGCCACAAACAUAAUGACACAUAUAUCUUCAUGAAAGAGGAAGACAACAAAAAUGAAUUAGUCAGUCCACAUAAGAACUAUGAUCAAGGGAUCUCUGCUGCCCUACACCUUUGUAGAUUUCUAUUAUGCCUGUAGAGAACAUAACUGAAAAAAUUAAUUCACUUCUACUUAUUUUAAUACUAUCAUUAAUUAUUAAUACUGCAUAUAAAUAGUCCUGAAAACAACUGGUGAAAGUAUUUUUUUUUCCAAACUACUCAUUACCCUUCCUUGGUUAUUUCAAGUUUUUACAGCCCCGCAUUUUGCACAUAAAAGAAAAAACUCUGCAGAGGUAGUGGUUUCCAUCACCAAUUCAACGUCUGUUUUUCUCUCAGGUACAUCAAAAAUGUAGAUAAGCUCAACACUAGAUACUUACUAUGAAGAUACUUACUAUGAAGAUGAAGAGGUAUCUGGUGUUGCAUGUCCCCAGGCCCAGAUCAGAAAUAAUAUAAAUAAAAAAUUUUACUAGUUUCCUGACUUUCCAAUAAUAUUUAAAAAUUCAUAAGUUUAUGAAGAAAAAUCUAUCAGCAGUUCUAUGAAUAGUUGGUGAAAUGAACCCAAUGUAACAGACGACAAAAUAGACUCCUAUUACAGAUGUAAGGCUACCAAAUGGUUGAGUAAACUGACUUGGACAUCUGUGUUUGUAGAGUGCAGGGUCAAAGAUGGAUCUGAUGAUGACACUUCAGAAUUGAAAUUAAAAUAUUAAAAUAGGCAUUUGUUAUUAAUUCUAAUGUGUACAAAAGGAACUGACUCCAAUAAACUGUUACGCUAUUGUUUGUCAUCUACCACAAUGUCAAGAAUGUGUCUGGGACACAGACCAAAAAGUCAGAGAAGAUGCUUAACUGAGAAAGCUCUGGGACAAAACUGUAUUUUUAAAGUUCAUAAUCUUCUCACAAGACAGAAAAAUGGAUGGACUCCUCAAAUAAUGAAAUAUCUACUUGUUCAGACUGAUUAGUUAAAUUUGAAGGCACUUCAAAAUUACUGGGUUUUUUUGGCCAAUUUUCCAGCAUUUAGCCAAAUAACAGGAUAUCUAUUGAAAAAAAAAAACAAAAACGCUGAUGUUGAGAAUUUAACUAACUUUGCAAACAGAAGAUGAAGACGGUGUUUGUGAUGUGUUAGCAGAAACCAACAUAGCAAAGAAUGCAGUAUGCAGUCAUCAUGUAAUAUGUACUACAUUAAUUUGCCAUCACCAGAAAAUGACCUGCAUAGCUGACACCACUUCUUCGGUUACCAAGAUUUACAAGUUUUAAUAGAGUUCACAGAUAGUAUGUGCCAGAUAAAAGGCCUGGCAAAAUGGGAAUUUUUUGUUAUCCUUGGCUGGAAUAUUGCUCUGUCUAUAAGGCACAGAACUGGGACUGAAGCAAUGGAUUAAUUUUCACCCUCUCUUAUGUUCACCGUAAUAGUUAAAGGGAGACUUUAUACUCUCCUUGGGCUUGUUUUCUCAUUUAUGACAUGAGAAAAAAUAUUCUAAUACUACCAGGACUGACAGGAGGUUAAACCAAUAUUGGUAAAGAAGAUUGAGUUGCAAAAGGUAAAUGCAGUGUAUUACUAUCAUUCCACAAACAGAAAAUCUUCAGAGCUAUGAAAUAUUUUUGCAUGCUCCUCUCUCUCACAUCCUGCCAAGCCAUACUUCCUGACAUUGUUAGAUUUCCAGUGUUGAAGAAUACUCCUUCACUCCUCAGUGAGGUGAGCUCAAGGAGCAAGGGCUGGAAGUAGUUUUAUGAUCUUAUAAGAAAAUUUAUGGAAAAUCCUUCUCCUAGAGCUCCAAGGAAUUGUAGAAAAUAAUAUAAUCUUGCUAGCCUGGAUAUUCUACUGAUAUAAAAUAAAUUCUGUUUUUAAUAAUUUAUUUUUAAUGUAGUCAUCUAAGUAUACACACAUUCCUCCCCAGUCAAGAAGUUUCUAAACCUAGGAGAUAAGACAAAGAAGAAUCAAUCUAUACUUAGUUUGUUUUCUUUCAGAGCUCUUUUGUUGAGCAUUUCCCAUGUUGGUCUAUAUUAAAAAACUGAGCUAGUUGAAGCUAAAAGAUCUCCCAGAGUUCAGGGAGGGGAAAAAAAUAAAUUUUGAGCCAAACAAAUUUGGAAAUCAACAAAUUUAAAAAAUAAGAGAAAAUCCUG